CUCAGAUUUAGACACAGCAGCAGCAUACAGGUUCAGCUCUACAGCCGGAACAGAAUAAACCAUUUAGACACAGCAGCAGCAUACAGGUUCAGCUCUACAGCCGGAACAGAAUAAACCAAUUCAAGCAGGAACACAUUUGAGGUGUCAUUCACAGAGGCCAGAGUCAUGAGUUGGAAUUGGGUAAGAAAACUGAUUAUUAACAGAAACAAUAGCAGGUCUUAACCCAAAGCACGAAGUAAAAUUU